AAGCUCGUAGUUGAAUUUCGGGGUUAGUAGGUUGGUCAUGCCUCUGGUAUGUACUGGUCUCNCUGAUUCCUCCUUCCUUAUGAACCGUAAUGCCAUUAAUUUGGUGUUGCGGGGAAUUUGGACUGUUACUUUGAAAAAAUUGAGUGUUUAAAGCAAGCUAACGCUUGAAUACAUUAGCAUGGAAUAAUGAAAUAGGACGUUGAUCUUAUUUUGUUGGUUUCUAGGAUUGACGUAAUGAUUAAUAGGGAUAGUUGGG
rnacentral:rRNA from 1 species